UACGUAGGCAGCAAGCGUUGUUCGGAAUUACUGGGCGUAAAGAGUGUGUAGGUGGUGCUCCAAGUCUGUUGUGAAAUCCCCGGGCUUAACCUGGGAACUGCAUUGGUGACUGGCAGGCUUUGAGUGUGGCAGAGGGAGGUAGAAUUCCACGUGUAGCAGUGAAAUGCGUAGAGAUGUGGAGGAAUACCGAUGGCGAAGGCAGCCUCCUGGGCCAACACUGACGCUCAUGCACGAAAGCGUGGGGAGCAAACAGG
rnacentral:rRNA from 1 species